rnacentral:miRNA from 1 species
AGGGGCUGGCUUUCCUCUGGUC